rnacentral:rRNA from 1 species
CCUACGGGUGGCAGCAGUGAGGAAUCUUGGUCAAUGGCCGCAGGGCUGAACCAGCCAAGUCGCGUGAGGGAUGACGGUCCUAUGGAUUGUACACCUCUUUUGUCAGGGAGCAAAGGGCGCCACGUGUGGCGCUUUGCGAGUACCUGAAGAAAAAGCAUCGGCUAACUCCGUACAAGCAGCCGCGGUAAUACGGAGGAUGCGAGCGUUAUACGGAUUUAGUGGGUGUACAGGGUGCGCAGGCGGAAUGUCAAGUCAGCGGUAAAAUUUCGGGGCUCAACCCCGUCGUGCCGUUGAAACUGGCGUUCUUGAGUGAGCGAGAAGUAUGCGGAAUGCGUGGUGUAGCGGUGAAAUGCAUAGAUAUCACGCAGAACUCCGAUUGCGAAGGCAGCAUACCGGCGCUCAACUGACGCUCAUGCACGAAAGCGUGGGUAUCGAACAGGAUUAGAUACCCGAGUAGUC